GCCUCUGUGGCUUAGCUGGUAGAGCGUUUGACUUGUAAUCAGACGAUCGUGGGUUCAAAGGAUAUAGAUCAGUGAGAUCUAUUCUGAAAAUCCCACCAGAGGCU
rnacentral:tRNA from 1 species